rnacentral:rRNA from 1 species
CAGAGUAAAAGUCGUAACAAGGUUUCCGUAGGUGAACUGCGGAAGGAUCAUUAUUGAAACAUUGUAAAGCAAAGUUGAGCUGGUCCUUCAAGGGCAAGUGCUCGCUUUACUUUCAAUCUUCAUCCACCUGUGCACCUUUUGUAGAGAGCUUGAGAAACAUGGAGUCCUUUAACUAGGGCUUUCUAAGUAUUGAGCUCUCUAUGUCUUUACAAACUCUGAAUGUAUGUCUUUGAAUGUCUUUAYAAGGGACUUUACUGGACCUUUUAAAAACUAUACAACUUUCAGCAACGGAUCUCUUGGCUCUCGCAUCGAUGAAGAACGCAGCGAAAUGCGAUAAGUAAUGUGAAUUGCAGAAUUCAGUGAAUCAUCGAAUCUUUGAACGCACCUUGCGCCUCUUGGUAUUCCGAGAGGCAUGCCUGUUUGAGUGUCAUUAAAUUCUCAACCUCGGAGACUUUUGUUGAUGAGGCUUGGAUGUGGAGGCUUUGCAGGCUCUUCUAGAGUCAGCUCCUCUGAAAUACAUUAGUGGAAACUGUUUGUAGUCCGCAUUGGUGUGAUAAUUAUCAGCGCUAUUGUGGCUACAAGCUUGUGUAGUGUUCGUUUGGARAGUGCACUAAUACUGCUCUCUCUGCUUCACUUGACCUACGCAAGUAUAGUAUUCGCUUCAACMGUCCUAAGUUAUUGGACAAUACUUGAUUAUUUUGACCUCAAAUCAGUAGGAUUACCCGCUGAACUUAAGCAUAUCUGA